GUGUUCACUUUGGCAGCACGUACAUGAAAACUGGAUGAAACAGAGAACGUUACCAUGGCUCCUGCAUAAGGAUGACAUGCAAAUUUGUGAAACGUUCUGUACUUUU